CUAGGAGAACCGAAAACAGUUCUAGACUGACCUGCGGUUUUAUAGCACUUUGGCAGUCAACUUCAGCUUGUGUCAGAGCAGACAUGACAGAGCUGCCCAGCGCUUAAUCGCGGGACGCCACCUCCUCGGACUCACUGCAGCCCCCCUCUUGCAUUUCAAUAAAUUUCAAACCUUGGGGCUAGGAAUGGGGAGCGGAGCUG
rfam:Aptenodytes forsteri contig50672, whole genome shotgun sequence.